UACGUAGGGGGCGAGCGUUGUCCGGAUUUAUUAGGCGUAAAGAGCUCGUAGGCGGUUCGAUAAGUCGGACGUGAAAUCUCCACGCUCAACGUGGAGGGGCCGUUCGAUACUGUCGUGACUCGAGUCCGGUAGGGGAGUGUGGAAUUCCCGGUGUAGCGGUGAAAUGCGCAGAGAUCGGGAGGAACACCCGUAGCGAAGGCGGCACUCUGGGCCGGUACUGACGCUGAGGAGCGAAAGCGUGGGGAGCAAACGGG
rnacentral:rRNA from 1 species